AACGAAUAUUCCGCAAUGGGCGAAAGCCUGACGGAGCGACGCCGCGUAUGGGAUGAAGUCCUUCGGGAUGUAAACCGUAAUAGUUUGCCAGCAAGUGAUUCGGGCUAAUAUCCCGAAAAGUUGAGCAGCAGAUGAAAGGGACGGCUAACUCCGUGCCAGCAGCCGCGGUAAUACGGAGGUCCCAAGCGUUGUUCGGAUUUACUGGGCUUAAAGCGCGUGUAGGCGGAUUGGUACGUACCUUGUGAAAUCCCACGGCUCAACCGUGGAAUGGCUGGGUAUACGGCCGGUCUUGAGGCUGAUAGAGGUGCCUGGAACCUUAGGUGGAGCGGUGAAAUGCGUAGAUAUCUAAGGGAACGCCGGUGGCGAAAGCGGGGCACUGGGUCGAUUCUGACGCUGAGACGCGAAAGCGUGGGGAGCAAACA
rnacentral:rRNA from 1 species